GACGAACGCUGGCGGCGUGCUUAAUACAUGCAAGUCGACUGAACUUAAGGUAGCAAUAUUUUAAGGGAGGUGGCGCACGGGUGAGUAACACGUAGGUAAUCUGCCUUUAGGACUGACAUAACUCCGCGAAAGCGGAGCUAAUUUCAGAUGAUGCAGCGGCUCGACAUCGAGACAGUUGUUAAACCUUCGGGGCCUAAAGAUGAGCCUGCGUCUGAUUAGGUAGUUGGCGGAGUAAUAGCCCACCAAGCCAUCGAUCAGUAGCUGGUCUGAGAGGAUGAUCAGCCACACUGGAACUGAGACACGGUCCAGACUCCUACGGGAGGCAGCAGUAAGGAAUAUUGCUCAAUGGCCGAAAGGCUGAAGCAGCAACGCCGCGUGGAGGAUGAAAUACUUUUGUAUGUAAACUCCUGUAAGAAGGG
rnacentral:rRNA from 1 species